rnacentral:rRNA from 1 species
AUUGAACGCUGGCGGCAGGCUUAACACAUGCAAGUCGAGCGAGCGGCGGACGGGUGAGUAAUGUCUGGGAAACUGCCUGAUGGAGGGGGAUAACUACUGGAACCGGUAGAUAAUAGCGCAUAACAUCCGAUGUGCUCAGAUGGGAUUAGCUAUUUGGUGGGUUAAUGGCUCACCUAGCAGAAGAGCCCUAGCUGGUCUGAGAGGAUGACCGGCCACACUGGAACUGUGACACGGUCCAGACUCCUACGGGAGGCAGCAGUGGUGAAUAUUGCACAAUGGGCGCAAGCCGGAUGCAGCCAUGCCGCGUGUGUGAAGAAGGCCUUCGGGUUGUAAAGCACUUUCAGCGAGGAGGCGUUACUCGCAGAAGAAGCACCGGCUAACUCCGUGCCAGCCGCCGCGGUAAUAC